AUUGAACGCUGGCGGCAGGCCUAACACAUGCAAGUCGAACGAGUGGCGGACGGGUGAGUAAUGUCUGGGAAACUGCCCGCUGGAGGGGGAUAACUACUGGAAACGGUAGCUAAUACCGCAUACCAUCGGAUGUGCCCAGAUGGGAUUAGCUAGUAGGUGGGGUAAAGGCUCACCUGGGGGACGAUCCCUCGCUGGUCUGAGAGGAUGACCAGCAACACUGGAACGGAAACACGGUCCAGAUUCCUCGGGUAGGCAGCGGGGGGGAAUAUUGCCCAAUGGGCGCAAGCCUGAUGAAGCCAUGCCGCGUGUAUGAAGAAGGCCUUCGGUUUGUAAAGUCCUUUCAGCGAGGAGGCGUUACUCGCAGAAGAAGCACCGGCUAACUCCGUGCCAGCAGCGCGGUAAUUC
rnacentral:rRNA from 1 species